UUUAAAAGAGUUUGGUACGAGGAUUGGAAAACAAACUAAAAAGCGUAUUAUUACAAAACCGGACCGAGCCGAGCCGCGGUAAGUAUGAUGCAAGCCACUAAAGCUGCGAGUAGGCUUCACGCGCCCAUCCCGGCGACCAGCCCCCUACACUCGCGGCUCAUGCGGCCGGCGCUCCUCACCCACAACGCCCACCGACGCGACCCCCUAUAGCCCUAGACCCUUUCCUCACCCGUUUCUCAUUACCCACCCCACCCCUCAAAAAACACAAACACGACGACCCGACCAAACAAACCCUAAUUUCCAGCACCGCCUGACCACCAAACCGUUUUCCAUGGGAGACCUAACGGAUUCCCUGACGCCGUCUGCUUCGACGCCCAUUUCCCACUCUCGCCCCAUGCCGGUCCGCGAGGACUGCUGGAGCGAGGAAGCCACUUCCACUCUCAUCGAUGCCUGGGGCCGACGCUACCUCGAGCUCAACCGCGGUAAUCUCCGCCAGAAGGACUGGCAAGAAGUCGCCGAUGCCGUCAACGCCCUCCAUGGCCACACCAAGAAAACCCACCGCACCGAUGUUCAGUGUAAGAAUCGCAUCGACACCAUCAAGAAGAAGUACAAGGUCGAGAAGGCUAGGGUUUCGUCCUCUAACGGAGCCUUGUCUUCCUCGUGGUUGUUUUUCGACCGCCUCGAUGCCUUGAUUGGUUCUAACCUAAAGAAACCUUCUCCUUCUUCUCUCUCGCCGUCACCUCCGGUUGCUGUCCCUCUUCCUAUUGCUUAUAGAAAGUAUCCUUCCUCUGCACCUGCCGCGGCUUCGACAGUGGUUGUCCUGCCGCAGAAGCGGUCUGCAGCGGCGGCGGCGGCGGCGGCUGCGUCUUCUGCUGGCGACGAAGGGUUUUUUAGGAGGAAUUACUCAGCGAUGGCGGCGGCUGCGGCUGCAGCAGAGGCGGAAGAGGACGAUGAAUUGGAGAACGAGGAAGAGAUGGAGGAGGAGGAGGUGGACAGAGAGAGCGAGGACGAGAGUGUGGAAGGGGAGGGGAUGAGGAGGUUGGCGAGGGCCAUAGAGAGGUUCGGAAGGGUGUAUGAGAGAGUGGAGGGGGAGAAGUUGAGGCAGAUGGUGGAGUUGGAGAAGCAGAGGAUGCAGUUCGCGAAGGAUUUGGAGGUUCAGAGGAUGCGGAUGUUCAUGGAUACGCAGGUUCAACUCGAGCGGAUCAAGCGUGGUAGGAGAUCGGGGUCCAAUGGACAGCAUAGAUGCUUAUGAGUUUCUAAUUUGCACAUUGGAUGAUGACGGGUUCCAUUAAGUUUCCACAUGGACUCCACUUUAUCCAAAUUCCAACGGCCAGAAAAGGACAUGAAACACAGUUAGAAGAUCUAGAUGAUUGACUUCUAAGAAAGAUCUAUGAAUUGUUUCUUACAGAGAUAUAUAGCUAGCGAUGAGGCGAGAGCUUGAAAGAUGCACUCUCGGGAAGCACAUGUAGUAACUUCUUAAUCCUCCUUACAGAAGUACAUAUUGUUGCAGCUGAUACCCUCGUAAGAUUAUUUCCAGCAGAGAUGGAUUAUCUUAAUUAUUUAGAUUCUUUAUAUAUUGCCUCUUGCUCCUUUCUUUUCCUUUUUUUUUUCCCCCCCUCAAAACGUUUUUAUAUGAAGUUAACUGGGCUAUUGUACUCGGCCUGUGUACCAAAUUCAAAUUUUUAGCUGCAAUACCGUUUUCCAGUUUGAGGGACAAAAAUUUGUAGUUUGCACGAACUCGAAACCUAGUGGGUUAGAUAUGUAAAGAAGGUGGCGCUGCCUCCCUCACCUUCCUUUGGCCACCUGAAUUUCAUCAUGUUUAAAUAAUUAAAAAUUUAGUUGGUUUCUGUAACUUGAUGUUGAGUAAGCUUGCUAUAAUUUGUAAAUUCUGAUACUUCAGAAGGUAGUAUGCGAAUCAUUUAUUUGUUUAGCCAUUUGCAUGGCAUUCACGUAUGUGCCAUGUCUGCGGAUCAAUAUUCUUCUAAGUUGAUAAUGACAUAUAAUCCUACUCAUGGAUAUGUAGUAGUGUUUUGGUUU